AAGUCGUAACAAGGUCUCCGUUGGUGAACCAGCGGAGGGAUCAUUACAAAACGAGUGCUUCGGCUCUCCAACCCAUUGUGAACAUACCUAUCGUUCCCUCGGCGGGCUCAGCGCGCGGCCGGCCUCCGGGCCACCGGGCGUCCGCCGGGGACAACCAAACCCGAAUUUUUCGUGUAUAUCUGAGGGGCGAAAGCCCGAAAACAAAAUGAAUCAAAACUUUCAACAACGGAUCUCUUGGCUCUGGCAUCGAUGAAGAACGCAGCGAAAUGCGAUAAGUAAUGUGAAUUGCAGAAUUCAGUGAAUCAUCGAAUCUUUGAACGCACAUUGCGCCCGCCGGCACUCCGGCGGGCAUGCCUGUCCGAGCGUCAUUUCAACCCUCAGGGCCCCCUUUCGGGGGCGGCACCUGGUUCUGGGGAUCAGCGGCCCUUCGGGGCCCCUGUCCCCCAAAUUGAGUGGCGGUCGCGCCGCAGCCUCCCCUGCGUAGUAGCACACCUCGCACCGGAGAGCGGCUCGGCCACGCCGUAAAACCCCCAAUUUUUACAGGUUGACCUCGGAUCAGGUAGGAAUACCCGCUGAACUUAAGCAUAUCAAUAAGCGGAGGAAAAGAAACCAACAGGGAUUGCCUCAGUAACGGCGAGUGAAGCGGCAACAGCUCAAAUUUGAAAUCUGGCCGCAAGGUCCGAGUUGUAAUUUGCAGAGGAUGCUUUUGGCGAGGUGCCUUCCGAGUUCCCUGGAACGGGACGCCAUAGAGGGUGAGAGCCCCGUACGGUAGGACCACCGAGCCUUUGUAAAGCUCCUUCGACGAGUCGAGUAGUUUGGGAAUGCUGCUCUAAAUGGGAGGUGUACGUCUUCUAAAGCUAAAUACCGGCCAGAGACCGAUAGCGCACAAGUAGAGUGAUCGAAAGAUGAAAAGCACUUUGAAAAGAGGGUUAAAAAGUACGUGAAAUUGUUGAAAGGGAAGCAUUCAUGACCAGACUUGGGCUUGGUUGAACAUCCGGCGUUCUCGCCGGUGCACUCUGCCAGUCCAGGCCAGCAUCAGUUUGCCCCGGGGGACAAAGGCGGUGGGAAUGUGGCUCUCUCCGGGGAGUGUUAUAGCCCGCCGUGUAAUGCCCUGGGGCGGACUGAGGAACGCGCUUCGGCUCGGAUGCUGGCGUAAUGGUCAUCAAUGACC
rnacentral:rRNA from 1 species